rnacentral:rRNA from 1 species
CCUACGGGAGGCAGCAGUGAGGAAUAUUGGUCAAUGGGCGCGAGUCUGAACCAGCCAAGUAGCGUGAAGGAUGACUGCCCUACGGGUUGUAAACUUCUUUUAUAAAGGAAUAAAGUGAGGCACGUGUGUCUUUUUGUAUGUACUUUAUGAAUAAGGAUCGGCUAACUCCGUGCCAGCAGCCGCGGUAAUACGGAGGAUCCGAGCGUUAUCCGGAUUUAUUGGGUUUAAAGGGAGCGUAGGUGGGUUGUUAAGUCAGUUGUGAAAGUUUGCGGCUCAACCGUAAAAUUGCAGUUGAUACUGGCAGUCUUGAGUACAGUAGAGGUAGGCGGAAUGCGUGGUGUAGCGGUGAAAUGCUUAGAUAUCACGAAGAACUCCGAUUGCGAAGGCAGCUUACUAAACUGCCACUGACGUUGAGGCACGAAAGUGUGGGUAUCGAACAGGAUUAGAUACCCCGGUAGUC